rnacentral:rRNA from 1 species
GUGGGGAAUAUUGCACAAUGGGCGAAAGCCUGAUGCAGCCAUGCCGCGUGUGUGAAGAAGGCUUUCGGGUUGUAAAGCACUUUCAGCGAGGAGGAAAGGUUGAUACUUAAUACGUAUCGGCUGUGACGUUACUCGCAGAAGAAGCACCGGCUAACUCCGUGCCAGCAGCCGCGGUAAUACGGAGGGUGCAAGCGUUAAUCGGAAUUACUGGGCGUAAAGCGCGCGUAGGUGGUUUGUUAAGCUAGAUGUGAAAGCCCUGGGCUCAACCUGGGAACUGCAUUUAGAACUGGCAGGCUAGAGUACAGCAGAGGAUAGUGGAAUUUCUAGUGUAGCGGUGAAAUGCGUAGAUAUUAGAAGGAACACCAGUGGCGAAGGCGACUGUCUGGGCUGAUACUGACACUGAGGUGCGAAAGCGUGGGGAGCAAACAGG